GAUUUAGAUAUAUUUGAACUUCUUCUCCUCUAUCCGCGUAGACACCGCUUACGCGAUUAUUGGCGAGUUAACAAUAGCGCGCCAGUCAUUUCUUCUUUUCGCAGCGUGGCGCGAAUUGGACGUCGAUUUCAAAGCAAGGUCCUAAAAGGUGCUGUAAAUGCUCCUUGGUACUGCAGAAGUGCUGAUAUUCAUCGAUAUCUAUGGGCGAAUACAGUCGGAGUCAGGGAGGUGCCCACUACAAAAGGCUUAAUGCGCAUGUGAACGAGGAGACGAGAAAUCACACACAGUUUUCUUACUGACAUCCUACCACUGACCAUUGAAAACAACGUCCUACUGUGGUUGUAAAGGAUCUUGAAAAACGGAUCAUCUUCAAAAGUUGAAGCAGUAUCUUCUACGAGAAAGCACAGAAAGUAGUUUCUCGAAAGUUUUGGUGGUGUCUAGGUUAAUUUUUGAACACAUAAUUCACCGAAUCGAAGACACCAACUUAAUGAGUCACUGCUUUGAAGCCAGGUCAUGGAAAUGAGUCAAACGUCGUCAAGUUUUUUAUCAGUUUAGUCACAAGAUCGGAGUCAGGAACCAAUGUAAACAGAUUUAAUCAUACACGUAAUCAAGACACAAUUGACAAUUGAUGUACAAAAAUUUAUUAUAGCUAAAUAAAGUUGAUUAUAGAGUUGCCAGCUUUUUAAAAUUUGAAACAAAACAUGAAAAGUGAGAUGCAAUAAAAUGUGUAAUAUAUUACAAUGUGUUCUAUAAUAAAGCUUAUACGAGUUUAAAAUUCAAAAAUUGAGCUGAAGAACAAGUUGGUCAGAGUUGCUAUCUGUUAACAAUUAAAUGUUCAACUAAAAUUUUCAA